CAUAUUUUAGAAUUCAGUGACCUUCAAUGAUGUGCAUGUGAAAUUCAGCCAAGAAGAGUGGGCUUUGCUGAAACCUUCACAGAAACAACUCUACAAAGAUGUGAUGCUAGAGACCUGUAAAAACCUCACUGCUAUAGGCUACAAUUGGGAAGACCAUACCAUUCAAGAACAUUUUCAAAGCUCUACAAGUAAUAAAAGCUGUGGCUUGACUUAGACUUGCUUGUUAGACCAGCCUGACCUCAACAUCACACAGAUCUGCCUGCUUCUGUGUCCACAAGUGCUGGGAUUAAAGGCAUGAACCAGCACAGCUGGCUGUGUCCUGGAGGUUUUAAAGAAAAGCAACCAUGUAAAAAAGCACUGAUUUAAGUGUACUGAUGAUCAUUAAAAUCUCACAAUUCCAUUUACCUCAAUGUCAGGUAUCUGAUUUAUGUUUGCAAGGCAUUCCUUAAGAUAGAAGAAAAUAAAAUAAUGUUGUAACAGAAAAUACCAUUUGAAUCAUAUAGACAUUACAGCUACUGAGUUGAACUGCCAAUCUGUUUAGUCUCAUUUUAUCUACUCAGAUAUUUUAAGAGGUAUACAUAUUGAAUAGGCGAUCAGUAUGUGUCCAAAACUUUCUAAUAACAACCACUGUUACUCAUAUUCAUGCAGGCACAUUUUAAAGUUUAGUGAAAGGAGCAGCUUAUGAGAGUCAAGAAUAUUGUUGUGGAGAAACCUUAAUCCCUAUAUGACAUGUCUAUGAUGAACAAAAAACAAACUGUGUUAAUUCAA